GAAUCUGGGACCACACCACACCAGUUCUCUCCUUAAUCCACGUCAUUUGCCUUCUAUCCCAGCUAUGUUUCCAGUGUCCUCUGGGUGUUUCCAAGAGCAACAAGAAACGAAUAAAUCUCUGACGGAGAUUCACUCUUGUUGCCCAGGCUGGAGUGCAAUGGCACAAUUUCGGCUCUCCACAAUCUCUGCCUCCCAGAUUCAAGCUAUUCUCCUGCCUCUGUCUCCCGAGGAGCUGGGAUUACAGGCUGGUGUGCAAUGGUGCGAUUUCCGCUCACUGCACUUCCACCUUCCGGGAUUCAAGCCAUUCUCCUGCCUCAGCCUCCGGAGUAGCUGGGACUACAGUCAUGUGCCACCAUGCCCGGCUAAUUUUUGUAUUUUCAGUAGAGGCAGGGAUUCACCACAUUGGUCAGGCUGGUCUUGAACUCCUGACCUCAAGUGAUCUGCCCGCCUCUGCCUCCCAAAGGGCUGGGAAUACAGGCAUGAGCAACUGCACCUGGCCUGGAUUAAUUGAAAAUUUUCUCCUGUAGAUUGUAAUAUAUUAUUAUUGUUAUCUAUUUUAUUGCCCCAAUUUUCUCAAAUUUGGCUAUGGAAGUUUAUUCAAAGUGGAUCUGUUUCCCUUUCACAUUUUCCCCAUUUUGUGAGCAUUUCCUUACUUCCUAACAUGACAAAAUAUUUCAAACUAAUCUUGUAUUUUCCCUGCCCAAUCCUGAUAUCAAAUAUGUCCCCAAGGAGCCUUGGUUCCUUUAAUUGGAGAAUGGUGUUCUCAUUGUUACUGGGAUGAUGUUGUUUCUAGGCCCUUUUGUUAGAGGAGCUAGAAAAUAUAUGUAUGUAUACUCACACAUUUAUACACAUCUGUACUUAUUUAUACAAUUAUCCAUCUGUACGUAUACUAAAAACAAUGAUUUCAUGAAACUUUUGAUCCCAAUCCAACACUAGAUAAAGACUAUAUAGGCCCAUUUAUUUGCAAAUCAGCACAUAAACAUAGAAGAAUUAUUAACAAUAUAAGCUGUAGCUUAUGCUAAAUGUUGGUUGGAACAGACAAUAAGUUAUGGAGAACUUCAGAGGACACUAAGGUUGGAUGGGAUUUUGGAAGUUGUACAGGUCAAUGCCACUCCAUCUAUUGGCGAGUUUCACUAGGUUAAUACAUGAACAACAACAAAAAUAACCUAGAUCAGAAGUUAAAGGUCAUUUUAUUGACUAUCUGCCGUGUCUGUGCCAUUGCAGUGUACUAGGUGCACUUACGAGUCCUCUACUUACAAACUGCUUUUCACAAAAUAUGAAACUCCAGGCAAAGGUUCAGACAUAUGACGUUUGUUUUUAAAAUCUUUCUACAGCCUUGUAUCCUUUUUCCUUUCCUUCCUUUUACCCUUUUUAAAAUGUGUUAUGAGUUUUAUCUUAGACUAACAUCAUCUGUAAUGUUGCUAUACGCCAGUAUUCAGUUGCUGUGUUUGAUGAAUCAUAAAAUGGUGUAAAACUUCAAUUAAUGUACUUUUUAAAUAAAGUAUCUAUGAAUGCAUCCAGCAAAAUGUUUAUGAUUUGAGUAUUCACACAAUAUUACUUUUCUCUGGAUCUAACAAUAAUGUGAAAACGC
rnacentral:lncRNA from 1 species